AGAGUUUGAUCCUGGCUCAGGAUGAACGCUAGCGGCAGGCCUAAUACAUGCAAGUCGAACGGGCUGGAGUAGCAAUACUCCAGUUAGUGGCGCACGGGUNNGUAACGCGUAUGCAACCUCCUUUUAUUGGGGGGAUAGCCCGAAGAAAUUCGGAUUAAUACCGCAUAAUAUCAUUUGAGGGCAUCUGAGGAUGAUUAAAGCUACGGCGAUAAAAGAUGGGCAUGCGUGUCAUUAGCUAGUUGGUUGAGGUAACGGCUCACCAAGGCGACGAUGACUAGGGGUUCUGAGAGGAUGAUCCCCCACACUGGUACUGAGAUACGGACCAGACUCCUACGGGAGGCAGCAGUAGGGAAUAUUGGGCAAUGGCGGAAACGCUGACCCAGCCAUGCCGCGUGCAGGAUGAAGGCCUUCUGGGUUGUAAACUGCUUUUAUCUAGGAAGAAAAUACUCUUGCGAGAGGAACUGACGGUACUAGAUGAAUAAGCACCGGCUAACUCCGUGCCAGCAGCCGCGGUAAUACGGAGGGUGCAAGCGUUGUCCGGAUUUAUUGGGUUUAAAGGGUGCGUAGGCGGCUUCAUAAGUCCGUGGUGAAAGCCAACAGCUCAACUGUUGAACUGCCAUGGAUACUGUGAGGCUUGAGUACAGACGAGGUAGGCGGAAUGGAUCGUGUAGCGGUGAAAUGCAUAGAUACGAUCCAGAACUCCGAUUGCGAAGGCAGCUUACUAGGCUGUAACUGACGCUGAGGCACGAAAGCGUGGGGAGCGAACAGGAUUAGAUACCCUAGUAGUCC
rnacentral:rRNA from 1 species